UACGGGGGGGGCAAGCGUUUGUUCGGAAUUACUGGGCGUAAAGGGCUCGUAGGCGGCCAACUAAGUCGGAUGUGAAAUCCCCAGGCUCAACCUGGGAACUGCAUCCGAUACUGGAUGGCUUGAAUCCGGGAGAGGGAUGCAGAAUUCCAGGUGUAGCGGUGAAAUGCGUAGAUAUCUGGAGGAAUACCGGUGGCGAAGGCGGCAUCCUGGACCGGCAUUGACGCUGAGGAGCGAAAGCCAGGGGAGCAAACGGG
rnacentral:rRNA from 1 species